rnacentral:rRNA from 1 species
AUUGAACGCUGGCGGCAUGCCUUACACAUGCAAGUCGAACGGCAGCACGGGGGCAACCCUGGUGGCGAGUGGCGAACGGGUGAGUAACAUAUCGGAACAUACCCUAGAGUGGGGAUAACGUAGCGAAAGUUACACUAAUACCGCAUACGAUCUAAGGAUGAAAGUGGGGGAUCUUCGGACCUCAUGCUCAUGGAGUGGCCGAUAUCUGAUUAGCUAGUUGGUGAGGUAAAGGCUCACCAAGGCGACGAUCAGUAGCUGGUUUGAGAGAACGACCAGCCACACUGGAACUGAGACACGGUCCAGACUCCUACGGGAGGCAGCAGUGGGGAA